rnacentral:rRNA from 1 species
AUGACAGAUGCAAUAUCGAAAUACUGGUGGGGAGAUGACGACAACCACAAGCAUAUCCAUUGGGCAGCAUGGUGGAAACUAUGUGUACCUAAAGAGAGGGGAGGCUUGGGGUUCAGGGAUUUACACAGUUUUAAUUUAGCUCUACUUGCUAAACAGGUUUGGAGGCUACUCGAGAACCCUAACUCUCUAUGUGCAUAGAUUUUGAGGGCCAAAAAUUACCCGGAUGGAAAGUUAUUGGAUGCUAAGUUGAAGAGUGAAAGCUCUUAUACAUGGCAAAGUAUCUGCGCUGGAAUUAAUACUUUCAGGAGAGGUGCAAUAUGGCGCAUACGAUAUGGAUCACAAGUGAAGAUUUGAUCUGAUUCGUGGAUACAAUCGAGUGCUGAUGGCCGUGUCAUUACACCGCGAGGAGGGACCCUUCUGUCUAAGGUCUCGGAAUUGAUUAAUCCUGUCACCGGUUUGUGGGAUCAAGAGUUGAUAAAUGAUGUGUUUUGCCCGGUAGAUGCGCACAGAAUCCUUGCAAUACCGCUGGCACCACAUGGAAUGAUGGAAGACUCUGUGCCCUAGAGGUUUACAAAGAAUUAUAUCUUCUAGGUCCGAUCAGCUUAUCAUGUGGAGUGGGAACAUCAAUUUGCCCGUUGGUAUGAACGAACAGAAGGGGAGCCAUCCCAGUGCUACCCGGUGUGGACAAAGCUUUGGAAAUCGCAAGCUCCUGCAAAGAUUAAUAUCCAUGCAUGGAAGGUACUACACGGUUUCAUACCAUGUUAUGGGGUUUUGGUAAAUCGCCACAUCUAUACAUCUGAUAGCUGUCCUAUGUGUGUGGAUGGAUGCGAGGACAUUAUGCACCCACUUUUCACUUGCCCAAGGGCAGCGGAAAUCUGGAGAUGUCUGAAUCUGGACGGGUUCAUAGAGGAGGCGUGUGACAGGGCGGGCUCGUCAGCUCUAGACUAUAUUUUAUUUGCUCCCACACGUCAGACUCUGAUCACAGAUGUCCCGGCUCAAUUUCUAGUCCUAGUGGGCAUCUAG